CAAGUUUCAAUACCUUCUGCCACACACUCAAAAAAUAGAUGGUUCCUGGACUCAAGCUCAUAGCCACAAAAAACACUUCCUUCAAUAUGAAGCCCCAUAGAAAUAAGCCUCUACUUAGCAGGCAAUCUGUCAAGAAUUGCCAUCCAAGUGAUUAUGGAGUGCUUAGCUAUAUUCCAAGCAUGCGACACCUGCUUAUCCCAUUUCACUUUCUCUCUUCUCCUCCUUAUUUGCUCCCAGAUAUUGGAAAUUGAUUCAACUCCGAAGACACUCAGAGAGAUAUCCCUAAGCUUCAAAAUUUUCCUACACAGCCAGAUCCCAUUAGUCGAAAAUGAAGCCUGCCAGAAUGAUGCCCC
rnacentral:lncRNA from 1 species